UGGGUUGUGGCUCAGAGGAAGAGCGCUUGCCCAGCAUGUAUGAGGCACUGGGUUCAAUUCUCAGCACCACAU
rfam:Ictidomys tridecemlineatus contig055331, whole genome shotgun sequence.